rnacentral:rRNA from 1 species
UGCACACACCGCCCGUCAAACCAUCCGAGUUGGGUUUCAGUGAGGUCGCCUCGCAUUGGGGUGUUCGAACUGAGAUUCAGCAAGGAAGGUUAAGUCGUAACAAGGUAUCUGUAGGGGAACCUGCAGAUGGAUCACCUCCU